rnacentral:rRNA from 1 species
UAGGGAAUCUUCCGCAAUGGACGCAAGUCUGACGGAGCAACGCCGCGUGAGUGAAGAAGGAUUUCGGUUCGUAAAACUCUGUUGUUAGAGAAGAACAGCGCAUAGAGUAACUGUUAUGCGUGUGACGGUAUCUAACCAGAAAGCCACGGCUAACUACGUGCCAGCAGCCGCGGUAAUACGUAGGUGGCAAGCGUUGUCCGGAUUUAUUGGGCGUAAAGCGAGCGCAGGCGGUCAAUUAAGUCUGAUGUGAAAGCCCCCGGCUCAACCGGGGAGGGUCAUUGGAAACUGGUUGACGUGGGUGCAGAAGAGGAGAGUGGAAUUCCAUGUGUAGCGGUGAAAUGCGUAGAUAUAUGGAGGAACACCAGUGGCGAAGGCGACUCUCUGGUCUGUAACUGACGCAGAGGCUCGAAAGCGUGGGUAGCAAACAGG